UCAUUUUGCGCCUGGUUCGGAGGGUCAAUCGGAGGGACAUGACCUCAAUAUCUCGGGGUUAUUUUCAUCGGCCUUAAUUUAACAUCGUAAGGUUCUGUUCUGCAUCAGGCCAUAUCUUUAGGCAAAAUAAUAUUUUAAACUCAAAAAUAUGCACAUUUGUGGAUCAUAAUCAGUAAUAGCAAUCAGAUAGUGUAACGGCGUAUCAUAAACCAACAAGAAUCAAUGGUAAACAAAUUAGUGCCGCCAACUGACGAUCCAACGAGCAACAAACCCAAAAUAAUGAAUAAGCUUCAGAGAAAAUGGUGGAAAUUAAUAGCAAAAAUGAAAGCAAAAUUCUUGCAUCAAUAGCAAAUCCGCGGAGCAGCGGUCAAAGGACCAAAGACAAAGUCGCCGGAAUUGAUUCCGGCCAGAUCUUCACAUUUUUCGGCGUUAAAAUAAUAAAAUAUACCAAACGAUAUCAAGAUAGUGCUGCUUUGACGGCAAAUAGUGCCGGAACAACGACCAAACAAAAGCCUAACGAGUCGCCGGAGUUAACUUCAUUUCCGGCCAGAUCUUGUUAGAUUCGGCCUGAUUCUGAUGGGUUUGACACCUACAAAGUAGAAGAGAGUUAAAAGAAAAUAGAGAGUGAGGAGCGACGAGGAUGGGGAGUGAAGCAACAGUGGUGGGCGGCCGUUUUCCGACCAAUGACCACCGGUAGUAGCGCGGGGAGAGGAGGAGGCAGCGAGAAAUGGAGUAAGGGAGAGGGGAAGAAGAUAGGGGAGCAGUUAUGGUGUAAAGGUGGUUGCCAGUCGGUCGGUGACCAAUUCCGGUGGCGGCAGUGGAGGCAAGGAGGGUUGAGAGAGGUGGGGGUAACGACUGCCAAUGGAGUAGGGGUCGGCAUAAUACCGGUCGAACCGUGAAUUUCGAUUUUUCGAUUUCGGUUUAAGCGGUUAUUCGGUCGGUGCACGAUUUUUAAAUUAUUAAAUUUUGAUUUUUCGAUACGGUUUACGGUUUUGGUAUUUCGAUUUUCGAUUAAACCGAAAAAUCAAAAUUUUGGGUAUUAGUUGAGAAAAAUAGGUUUGAACAUAUGAGUUCUUUUGAGAGUCCAAAACUUAAGGCUGAAGCCCAAUAGUCCAAUACCCAUUUGAAGCACACCCAAUUUAUCCAAACCUAAGACUUAAUCACUUAGUGACUUACUCUUACCGACUUACGUUCCCACCUUAGAAUUAGAAAUCAAAAAUUAGAUUUAGGGUUCCUCUAGUCCUCUCACCUCAGUGCGACUGCUGCAGUGUUGCCGACGCCCGAUUGUGACGCCUUCUUCCUCAGCUCGUCGCUCAUCCUUCUUCCUCAGGUUAGUGUGACUUCUUCUGAGUUCCUUUUCAGUUUUCUUCCUCAACUCAUUCGAUUUUGGUGUAGAUCUUGUACCUUUUGGUGUACCUUUUAGAGUUUGCUCAUCAAUUAUUUGAUGUAAAAUUUGGUUAUGCCCUUCACUGGAAACAUGUUCACUAGAAAUUUGAUGUAAAAUUUUGGUGUACCUUUUAGAGUUCGCUCAUCAAUUUCGUGUUUUGUGCUCACUGGAAACAUAUUUUGGUUGGGUUUUGAUUGAACUCUGGUUGGGCUUGAAACUUGGUUUGUAGUUAGGCUUUAUCUGAUUUAUAAAUUUUUACCUUAUUAAAAAAAAUAUUUGUUAUAGGUGUUCCGACCUUAAUUCCGUUUUCAUUCGAUUUUUUAUAGAUGGCAGAAUUUGAAAGUAGAGUAAGUGAGGUGGGUUCAUCUAAAAGCGAACCUACUUCUUUACCUACAAAUUCUGUUGAAACUAGUCAAGGCCUAAAAAUAAGAAAAUCCGUACAAUAUAGAUCAACUGCUUGGGAUCAUUUUGAAAAGUUUAAAGAUGAUAAUGGAGGUGAUAGAGCAAAGUGUAAACAUUGUGGUUGUGAUUAUAAGCUGAUUCACGUGUUGCAUCGGAAUGUGCAUUUAGCACCAGUGGCAGCAUUCUUGAUUCAUUUAGGAGUUCAUUGACUCCUCGGUUGGUGCAAAGUCAUGUUUGUGUUCAAGAUUGGUUUAGAUGUGAGGGUACUCCUAUUAAUGUUGAAGAAGGUUUGGAGUUUCUUGAGCAAAUUGAACUUGGUAAGAUUUUGCGUUUUAUGAGUGUUUUAGUGAAAAUUAGUUUACUUUGUAAGUUUAAAUGACACACUUUAUCAAAUUAUAUUUAGAUAUGGCAACGAGCGAAAGAGAAACUUGCAUUGUUGAAAGAGAUACUAGCAUUGUUGAUGCAUAGUUUGAACAAGUGUUCAACUAUGCCUCGUGGUCCUAAAGCUAGAUCGCGUAUUUGGGAACAUUUUGAGCUAGUUGAAGUAAAUGAAGAAGCCCGCAAAGCAAAGUGCCUUUAUUGUGGUCGAGUUUAUAAUUGUCAUCCAAAGUAUUAUGACACUUUUGGCUUAGUGAAGCACAUUAAGAAGUGUCUCAUGCCUCAUUCAGUGAUUCGUAUUUAAGACUUUAAGUAUCCUUUUCUAGACUUACUUUGUGGCUUGUGGGUUGUGACUAGUUUGCCACUCUUUUGUUGUUUGGUGAUGGUAUUUCUAGACUUGUUUUAGACUUUGGUAGCUGCGAGAUUUAGCACAGUGUUUGCUGAACUGUGCGAUAUUUUACUACUUGGAUGUUUGACGUUGUUAAUUGUUAUAUUGUGAAAUCCUGUUGUGUUCUGUUUGGACUUGAAAGGUUAGCUUGUUUGUGAAAUUCAGUGAUUCGUAUA